AUUGAACGCUGGCGGCAGGCUUAACACAUGCAAGUCGAGCGGGGUGAUGGUGCUUGCACUAUCACUUAGCGGCGGACGGGUGAGUAAUGCUUAGGAAUCUGCCUAUUAGUGGGGGACAACAUCUCGAAAGGGAUGCUAAUACCGCAUACGUCCUACGGGAGAAAGCAGGGGAUCACUUGUGACCUUGCGCUAAUAGAUGAGCCUACGUCGGAUUAGCUAGUUGGUGGGGUAAAGGCCUACCAAGGCGACGAUCUGUAGCGGGUCCGAGAGGAUGAUCCGCCACACUGGGACUGAGACACGGCCCAGACUCCUACGGGAGGCAGCAGUGGGGAAUAUUGGACAAUGGGGGGAACCCUGAUCCAGCCAUGCCGCGUGUGUGAAGAAGGCCUUAUGGUUGUAAAGCACUUUAAGCGAGGAGGAGGCUCUUUUGGUUAAUACCCAAGAUGAGUGGACGUUACUCGCAGAAUAAGCACCGGCUAACUCUGUGCCAGCCGCCGCGGUAA
rnacentral:rRNA from 1 species